GACGAACGCUGGCGGCGUGCCUAAUACAUGCAAGUCGAGCGAAGUUUUUCUGGUGCUUGCACUAGAAAAACUUAGCGGCGAACGGGUGAGUAACACGUAAAGAACCUGCCUCAUAGACUGGGACAACUAUUGGAAACGAUAGCUAAUACCGGAUAACAGUAUUUCUCGCAUGAGAGAUAUUUAAAAGUUGGUUAUGCUAACACUAUGAGAUGGCUUUGCGGUGCAUUAGCUAGUUGGUGGGGUAAAGGCCCACCAAGGCGACGAUGCAUAGCCGGCCUGAGAGGGUGAUCGGCCACACUGGGACUGAGACACGGCCCAGACUCCUACGGGAGGCAGCAGUAGGGAAUCUUCCGCAAUGGGCGAAAGCCUGACGGAGCAACGCCGCGUGAGUGGAGAAGGAUUUCGGUUCGUAAAGCUCUGUUGUUAGGGAAGAAUGGAUAUGUAGUAACUAUACAUGUAUGAGACGGUACCUAACCAGAAAGCCACGGCUAACUACGUG
rnacentral:rRNA from 1 species